rnacentral:lncRNA from 1 species
GAGAAGAUAUAUUCAUACUUUUUUACUUUAAAUUCCAGAUAUUAAAGAACUCUUCUUCCAUAAGUAGAAUAUAUAGAUUUUCCAUGAGUUAAAUUCAUCAGAUAUGUAAAGCAAGAAAUAGUAAUAGAAAUACUUUGUAGUAUAGUGAGGUUUUCAGAGACUACACAGAUAUGGAGAUAAUCUUUUAGUGUGUUGUCUUUGUACAUUCCUAACUCUUUUGGUAUCUGAAAUUUUCCCAUAUUGGAGUCUAGAAUCAAAAAGAAAGGCAGGGAAGUUAACCAAGGACAGUAGAGAUUGAAUUGCAGAAAAUGUGUACAUUGGAAGAUUUCUUCGGUUUAAAAAAAUUACAAAGGUUACAGAUACUUUUUGCCAUUAGCUGACUCAUCGACUGUUGGAAGAGGUUGGAAAUU